rnacentral:rRNA from 1 species
UCCGUAGGUGAACCUGCGGAGGGAUCAUUACCGAGUUUACAACUCCCAAACCCCUGUGAACAUACCUUAAUGUUGCCUCGGCGGAUCAGCCCGCGCCCCGUAAAACGGGACGGCCCGCCAGAGGACCCAAACUCUAAUGUUUCUUAUUGUAACUUCUGAGUAAAACAAACAAAUAAAUCAAAACUUUCAACAACGGAUCUCUUGGUUCUGGCAUCGAUGAAGAACGCAGCAAAAUGCGAUAAGUAAUGUGAAUUGCAGAAUUCAGUGAAUCAUCGAAUCUUUGAACGCACAUUGCGCCCGCUGGUAUUCCGGCGGGCAUGCCUGUUCGAGCGUCAUUUCAACCCUCAAGCCCCCGGGUUUGGUGUUGGGGAUCGGCUCUGCCCUUCUGGGCGGUGCCGCCCCCGAAAUACAUUGGCGGUCUCGCUGCAGCCUCCAUUGCGUAGUAGCUAACACCUCGCAACUGGAACGCGGCGCGGCCAUGCCGUAAAACCCCAACUUCUGAAUGUUGACCUCGGAUCAGGUAGGAAUGCCCGCUGAACUUAAGCAUAUCAAUAAGCGGAGGAA